rnacentral:tRNA from 1 species
AGGGGUGUAGCUCAGUUGGUAGAGCAGCGGUCUCCAAAACCGCGUGUCGUGGGUUCAAGUCCUGCCACCCCUGCCA